UACUUCUUACUACCAUACAAAUGUAUAAUAGACACAAAUAUGCGCCAUCGUUAGGUUAGGUAUGUCGUUGAAAAAUGUUCAGAAAUUAAUUGAUCAUUCAGUUUAUCGAAAAUUAUUCCCGAUUUUGAAGAAGCUAUGCAUGUCGGUGCAAAAAAAUAUAGCCAGAAUUACAGAUCGUUGGAUGCCGAUUUCAUUUGACAUAAAAUUGGUGGAAACACAUUCAAAGUCUUGGAUUACCAAAAUAAUACAAAUAUGAAUCAAGUGAAAUAGGUAAUUUGCUAAAAUGCGGGUAUUCGACUCAACCAUUAUUGAAUCAGGAAGAAGUAAGCGAUUGCUUUACGACAGAUUUGAUGUCAUUUUGUUCAGACGAUGAAAGAGUAAUAAAGUUCUGCAAUUA